ACUUUUUGCCAGGGGAAGUUGUAGUAGUUGAAUGUAGAAGGUUAGCGGCAAAGAUGCUUACAUUAAAUAGAAACUUGUGACGCAUACCAAAUCCUUGAUGUAUGGUUUUUUGGUGCAAAAUUUGAACUAGAAAGAAUUCUUCUCUUCGGGAAAAAAUCAUUUUGCACAAAAACCCGCAUUUGAUGUGGAUAUCGGAGAAGAGAUGU